rnacentral:lncRNA from 1 species
UAAUUUGAGAAUAUUUUGUUUCCUUUUUUAAAAAAUAUCAAAUUUGAAGUAAUGAAAUCCUAUUGGUUGGUGAACCUCUAGGUUUACCCUAGGGAGUGAACCCAAGAAUGACUCUUCAUUUUUUAUAUUGCAUUGUGUCUUUUUUUUUCUUUUAAACAAUCUGUAUGUAGCAUCGUUUAGAAUAAUCUUGAAAUGUGAACA